UUGGAGGGCAAGUCUGGUGCCAGCAGCCGCGGUAAUUCCAGCUCCAAUAGCGUAUAUUAAAGUUGUUGCAGUUAAAAAGCUCGUAGUUGAAUUUCGGGGUUCUACCGUUGGUCGGGCUUUGUCUGUACUGGUGUGUAGAAUUUCUACCUUCUGGGGAACCAUCAUGCUAUUAAUUUAGCGUGGUGGGAAACCAGGACCUUUACCUUGAAAAAAUUAGUGUGUUCAAAGCAGGCUUAUGUCUGAAUACAUUAGCGUGGAAUAAUAGAAUAGGACGGUGGUCCUGUUUUGUUGGUUUCUGAAUCACCGUAAUGAUUAAUAGGGAUAGUUGGGGGCAUUAGUAUUCAAUUGUCAGAGGUGAAAUUCUUGGAUUUAUUGAAGGCUAACUUCUGCGAAAGCAUUUGCCAAGGAUGUUUUCAUUAAUCAAGAACGAAAGUUAGGGGAUCGAAGACGAUCAGAUACCGUCGUAGUCUUAACCAUAAACUAUGCCGACUAGGGAUCGGACGAUGUUAAUUUUUCUUGACUCGUUCGGCGCCUUACGGGAAAC
rnacentral:rRNA from 1 species